UGCGAGGCAACCUUGAUCCCAUUACGACGUGAAAGUCCUUCACAAACAACAGUGUUUAAAGGAAUCACCUAGAAGUCAUUGUGUAGGAGCUUGGUGGGCGAUCUAAUUGCAAUCAAGGACCGCCCAGUCGCUACCAUUUAACGCCAUCCUCCGACCUGGGACUCGCGUUGUUUGUGGAGGACUUUCACGCCGUAAUGAGAUCACUAGUUCUGUUU
rnacentral:pre_miRNA from 1 species